rnacentral:rRNA from 1 species
AAAGUCGGACUAAUACCGCAUGAAGCAGGGGCCCCGCAUGGGGAUAUUUGCUAAAGAUUCAUCGCUGAUAGAUAGGCAUGCGUUCCAUUAGGCAGUUGGCGGGGUAACGGCCCACCAAACCGACGAUGGAUAGGGGUUCUGAGAGGAAGGUCCCCCACAUUGGUACUGAGACACGGACCAAACUCCUACGGGAGGCAGCAGUGAGGAAUAUUGGUCAAUGGGCGUAAGCCUGAACCAGCCAAGUCGCGUGAGGGAUGAAGGUUCUAUGGAUCGUAAACCUCUUUUAUAAGGGAAUAAAGUGCGGGACGUGUCCCGUUUUGUAUGUACCUUAUGAAUAAGGAUCGGCUAACUCCGUGCCAGCAGCCGCGGUAAUACGGAGGAUCCGAGCGUUAUCCGGAUUUAUUGGGUUUAAAGGGUGCGUAGGCGGCCUUUUAAGUCAGCGGUGAAAGUCUGUGGCUCAACCAUAGAAUUGCCGUUGAAACUGGGGGGCUUGAGUAUGUUUGAGGCAGGCGGAAUGCGUGGUGUAGCGGUGAAAUGCAUAGAUAUCACGCAGAACCCCGAUUGCGAAGGCAGCCUGCCAAGCCAUUACUGACGCUGAUGCACGAAAGCGUGGGGAUCAAACAGGAUUAGAUACCCUGGUAGUCCACGCAGUAAACGAUGAUCACUAGCUGUUUGCGAUACACUGUAAGCGGCACAGCGAAAGCGUUAAGUGAUCCACCUGGGGAGUACGCCGGCAACGGUGAAACUCAAAGGAAUUGACGGGGGCCC